AAAAGGGUUGAAGGGCUGACUCAGCAGCUGCUCUCUAGGAGCAGCCUAAAGCAGUUAGGAAAUGAGUGCUAUGAAGACUCCAGGAUGCAACUCCUUCCUAACAGGGAAUGGGAAAAAACAGUUCAAACUAUGUACAGAAUUUAAGGCCAGAAAAAGAGCAUGCAACGAGGCAGACCUGCUUACUUGCUGCUACCUUCCAGGAGAGCCAAGAAGCAUGCUCUGGCAUUAACUUCACUGAAAAUGACUCCCAUCUUACAAGAAUUAAAUAUCAUCCUGGAAAAGAAAACGUUCACUUAGAUAACGAAAAUGACUGCUGGAAGCAUCACAGCAAGUAAAUUCUGCCUUUUAUUUAACUAUUUCCUCUACACAACCGUGGGAAUUUUGAAAAAGAAGAAAAUCAGAAACAUGCACAAAAUGUAGAAACUGAAGAAGGAAAAUGAAAAGACAAAACAGGAUUGCUGCAUGGCAUCCAAAAAUACCCUGAAAUUUUGGAAGAAGCAAAUACUAUUUCCCAUUCUCCACAGGCACUGGUCUAUAAAAACAAUGCAAAACAUUACAUCUUGUUCUGGUGAUGACUUUGUAGGACUGACCCCCAUGCAGAAAGCCAAAGCAAUGUCACUGCCUCCGAUAAGACACAACAAGUCCUGUUUUGAAGGCAGCUUUUUGCAAAGGAUUAAAUUCUGCUAUUUAAAUACAUGCAGGCAGAACUAUCUGAGGCAGACAUGACAGAGCCACCUCAGCAGCAAUGCUAUGGCUGAAGAUGCCUUCAGCCUCGGCUGCUAUUUUUAGGUGCUUAUCGCAGUUUGAUUUGAGACCCACUGUGAUGGGUGCAGUGCAAACCAUACCAGUGAAAUAAAGCUUUGCUUGUAAUUUUAAUGACUCUUAUGCUUACAAUGAGGAAAAAUUUGGAAAGUAUGGGAGAAUUACAUUUGUCUUUGCUAUUCUCUUCUUUAAGAGCAGAGCAGUCAGUAUUCAAUGAGAGAAUAAAAA
ensembl:lncRNA